UGGAGGCUACAGUUUCAGGACCGUACAAUGACCGCAUUUCUAGGACCUAGUUUUGCCUUUAAGACUCGUCACGAUAAAACCCAGUGUCCUAGAACAACGGUCCUAAAACGGCAUCCUCCGGUCGCGUGUACCUAAUACACAUGGUAUCCCCUUUUUGAUCUUGGAAUAUAAGGAAGUUGCGCUGACACAGUGGAGUUGGUCUGAGGGACUCUGAGAGGGGAGCCCGUAUCGACUGUCUACGCCAUAGAUGGACAUCAUGGUUCUGUCUCCGCCGAAAUGAACGAUAAAAGAGAGUAAUUGAAUUGUGGGAAAUUUUCCCCCAUGAAUCGGACACUAUUAUUAUCGGCUAAAUGAAUCAGGAGGACUGCAACUCAAGCCGACUGCUGUUUCCAGGAUCUUCGUCACGGUCUCCCUCCUCUUGUGUCUCAGACUGUAACCUGCUACCAGAGGAUGUGCUGCUUAUGACACUGACUUAUUGUUCCCCCCCCUGUAUGGGGUAGAGGGCUGCGCAAGGACGUUUUACAUGGAAAGAGGUCUUGAUCGUGGUCGCUGUCAUGAUUGACCAAGCCUGGGUCGGACACCAACGACUGCAAUGGGCGGAGCCGGAG
ensembl:lncRNA